UUGGUGUUUUCCACCAACAGGGCCCAUGCACUUGAUCUCUGCCUUGUUUCUAUGAGCAGGUACACUUCGAGCAAAAUAUGAAGGACUUUUAUAACUCCCAGACUCCACCAAGUGAAGUACCAAGAUCUACGAGCACAAACACACUGGAGAUACUGGACACUCAGGCAAUCACUGCCCUGAGAUGCUUAAGGACGUAACUACUGGAGUAACCUCAUUGUGGAAGCAAUUACUGACCUUCUGCCGGUCAAGAGAGGCAAUCCAAGACGCCCCGUCAUCCCGAUCUCCAUCGGCAUGGUGGACUUCCCAGAAGCACUCUGUGACUUUGGCUCCAGCAUCAACAUUAUGCCCAGGAACCUCUGCGUCUGAGUUGGUACCUUGUACGCCCCAGCAGACUUCGUGGUGAUAGAGACUGGUACUGAUGAGAGGGCACCCAUCAUCCUAGGGAGGCCAUUCCUGAACACCUCAAGAGCUGUCAUCUACGCUAGUGCUGCCAAGAUCAGUUUCUACAUCAAAGGGAGGAAGGAGACAUUUUCCUUCAAGAACAAGACUACACAAAUCUCAGAGCAAUCCCGACAUGAACCAUGGAAGAGGGCCAACAGGAGGGACAAGACCAAGCAAAUGUGGACCAAGUCAGCUAAGAUGGUCACUGCAGUUCAAGGAGGUCAAGAUCGUCGACUUAAGUCACCGUUCCAAACCAACAAGGACGACCCAAGUAUGCCAAGCAUCCAGUGCUCCAUUAAUGGAUGCAACUUCCAGAAGAUGCUUUGCAACACUAGGUCAGGCGUCAACAUAAUGGCCGCAGUCACCUAUCAACUCCUGUUCGGAACCAUGCCACAAAAAACCGACAGAGAUUCAGCUCCAGAUGAUUUUAAGGUUAUUGACAUGGGAGAAAAGUAUGAUCCACCCAUCAUCCUUGGAGACCGUUCCUCAGCACCGUUAAAGCAAUCAUCUACAUUAGAACCAGAGAAGUCCACAUGCACAUCCCCUCUGAGAAGGUACGCCGCUAUUUUACUGACCCUAACUAUAUAGUUGAAGACUCUAAGCAGGUCAGGACAAAGAAGACAACGCAACCGCCACCAGAGAAGGCAAAUCAUCAAGGACGGAUGGAUGGACUACGAAGGAGAAGUGGUAAUGUCUGAAGACAUACAGCUUGAACAGAACUGUCCUGAGGAGACCGUAGCACCAAGUCAGGUGUGGAGAGAGAAGAUAGUUAUACACGAAGAGGAGGCGCCGCCGGAACCACCGACUACGCCAUCCAGCGAGUCCCAGGACGACUGAGAAAAUGGAGAGUCCCGUUCGGAGGACUUAAAAACAUCGAACGCCUUGCCAAGAGGUAAACUUGGUAGUUAUCUUUUUCCUUUCAAUUAUUUUAAAAAAAAGUUUGCUUAGUUAAUCAGGUUCAUAUCAUCUUGAAAAGAAAAUAAAAAUGUUAAGUAAGCCCCAUGUGAGUAUGCUCGUGGCAUAAAACCCAUAAGUACAUUCACUGUGGUGGCAUAAAAAUAAAAUUAAUAUAUUCGUGUCCUAUAAAAAUAAAAUUAUAAAAAUAGAUUUAUGAUCCUACCAAAGAGAGUAAAAUUUAUUAGAGGAAGCUCAACAUGAUAACGGCUAAGAGUUUUUAUGCUAACACUUAACUAGUUCCACAAAGCUUUGUUGUCUAUUUGAGCUCCACAGAAUUCAAGGAUCAAAGAAGACUAGCAGACGGAGGACAUCCUAAUCGCUGACAGAGUGCUGCCGACAUUCAAAUACACCUCCGCCACCUGCUAGCUACAUCAGAAGAAAUUGCGUCAAAUCCAGCUUGGGGGAGAGCACCCCCAUUUAUCCACCUAAGUGUUCUACUCAUCUUUAUACUUUACUCAAAUAAUAAAAAGAUGCAUAAUCAUAAAACCCAAAUAAAGAUUUUGUGCUUAUAUAUAUAUCUUUGCUUAGUUUGCUAAAUAAAUAAAUAAAUAAAGUUUGCUAUGAACCCUCAUGAUAAGCUCUCACAUGGAUAUGAUGAAUAGUUGCUCUAUCAUGACUAGUUCUCAAAAUUAAAAUCUCUCUCAAGUUUAGGCAUGACUGGUAUGAAUUAAGAUUUGCUCUAAACCUGAACUUGUGGGAAGAGUACUUGAUCUGAAGUCUAAGUCGUUAACGGAUAUGAUAUGGGAAGGUUGAGCUGCUAUUUAUCUGUUCUUAGAGAUGCUAGAAUUCUGGAGAAUUUUAUCUUUGAAAAUCUUUAAAAUGUUGCAUGAUGAGUUCCUGUAUGAUGAGAGUUUAAAUUCCUACCACAGCCAUAUAUACAUGCUUGCUAGACUUUGAGCCACACAUUUACUUUUUACUGCUUAUGAGCAUUGAGUGUGGUCAAGCUGUGUAGACCCUUAGGAGCUUGUCAUGUGGUUAAGUCAAGAUUCACUUGCACGUUCACUCGCACAUGCUGCUUCUACUUCGGAAGUACGCAUCCACAUAUAUCCACCCAUUUCCAUCUCCAGAACCACCCAAAAAUAUUCUACUCCUAAUCCGGGAGAGAAUAGCCAAAACAUUUCUGUUUUCCCCUUUGAAAUAAAUACUCAAGUUAUCUUGGUUACUACCACUUGCUAUAUUAUUUCAGGAGAUGAGUGCUCUAAAAAAAGAGAAAAAAGGAGAGAAAAAAAAUAAAUACGAGGAAAUAAAAAGGGGCAGGUGCCCGGAACCUCGAAAGAAAAGAAAAAAAAAAGAAAAGUGAGACGAGAGGUAAAAAUGGACAAGUGUCCGAUAGUAGAAUUAGGGGUACAAGAUACCCACCUGAGAGGAAAGAAAAAGAAAAUACAGAGCAUCUCAUUCUCCCCAAAAGUUUCAAAAGGGCAAGGAAGGUAUGUAUCCCCUCAAAAGAGCAAAAUUAGAAUUAGACUUUCACUAUUGUUAUCACCAUCAUUACCAUACACCAUUCAUUCGCCACACAUGCACAUCUUGAUUUGACUUAUUGACUUGUUCUUCUGGAUCCAUGGUUUGACUAUGCAAUAAAUGUCUUGUAAGUAUGUAUUAGCUGUCUCCCACCUAUGAGCUCCAGAUAUCAAAAGCCUUAUUAGAGUAGGGUGAGAGAGAAGGCAAUGUCACUAUGCCUUAUAUAAAAAAUACCACAUACUUUGAGAGAAGGCAUACACCUUUACUGCAUUGGUAAGGAUCUAGAAAUACCACAAAAGAGAGACUAGAGAGAGUCAUACAAGGAAUCUCUGAGUUUUAUUUGAAAAUCUGCAAAAACUCCAGAGCUAUAGUUAAUCGAAGAACAAGAGACAUGGCGCUUGACUAGACCGUUCUAUCUUUUAACUGCUCAAGACAGAAGUGACGGUUACAAGUCCCAUGGUGAAAGGUAAAUGAGUAAGUUUUAAGUCUUAACAGUUUACUCUUACCAGAGAUGAGAUCUUGUUUAAACGCAUGUAUAUCUUUAAGUUAUGAAACCACUGCAGAAACUCUUGAGUUCAUCUUUGCUCAGGGACGAGCAAAGGUUAAGCUUGGGGGAGCUUGUUGACGGUCCUUAAUGCUCAUAUUUAACCAUCAACUAAUCAGAGAAAAGGAUCCAAAUGCAACCAACACCUAGACUUAGGGUUUUUAUCUGACAGAAUUCCACGAGUUUUGGUGUUUGUAUAUUUCUGCAGGGGGUUAUCAGGAAAUAUAGAAGAAAGGCCCACACGUCAGGUUUACAUAGAGAUAUUAACGUGCCGCGCAAUUUUCUAUCAUCUAGAAGACUCCAGAAGGCACAGGAACGAACGGAAAGGAAAUCGGGCUCGGAGGCAGGGGCGCCCGCCCAACUCUCCUGGGCACCCGCCCAGCUACAGUGCCCAAUCAGGACACGUUUCGCGGAUCAUGCUCCACCGACCUAAUACUUCAAGGAAAACCACACGAUCAAUGUUGGUUUGAUCCGACGGCCCAGAUUCAUCGAAAAGACAAUAUAUGCAAGGCCCCCUAGCCCCUGGAGAUCAUACCUCUUCUACAGAAUCAAAGUUAGGGUUUCAAUUCUUCAUCCAAGUAGAGAGGAUCCCUCUAGUUCUUCUAGUUCUACCUCUAGUUCAUCUAGAUCUAGUUCUAGUUCAUCUAGUUCUAGUUCUAGUUCUAGUUCCUCUAGUUCUAGUUCUAGUUGUAAUCUAGAAAAUAGGGAGAGAGAAGAGGAGAGCGGAGGAGGAGCCGGAUCUGUCGGAUCUUCCUCAACAUUGUACUUUUGCAGCAACUGGUUCAUUCUUCAUCGUUCUCCAGGUUCUUCAAUUCAUAAUCCUGAGUUCUUUAAUUACUUUUAUUUACAUUCAAGUUAUUUAUUGGAUUCCCGCUUGCAUCAAGUGCUCUAAUCUUUGCAACAUUAGAGUAGUAAUUAAUAGAUUAGACAUGGUGUUUAGUCUUGCAAUUACCUGGAAUUGCACCCAAUCCUGCGGAUUGUUGUGGUACCCUUAGGGUAGUGACAGCCCUAACGGUCGACGUAUUCCACCUCGUUCGGAUCGGUGUUUGUAGGACCGUAGUCAGACCUUCCUAGCCCCCUUCUCAUCUCUUUCUGUGGUUAGUGCUCUGAUGUCCCGAUAUAGAUAAUCUUGAAGUAAUUCUUGAUUCUUAGAUCAACUAGAGAACUCUCAGGAAACUUCUUCUCUUCCCACCAAAAAUAAUUAUAUAGUUAUCCUUGGGCGAUCUUGGAUCUUAAUUAGUACACUCACGUUCCCUGUGGAAAAUCGAUACUCUGGAAUACUCCCGGGUGAAAGCUACAUCGGUAUCCAUGCGCUUGCGGAUUUUUCUGUUUGCGUUUAAAAUACCCAACAACAAGCUUUCCGAUUAUGAAACACAACAACUUGUCACUAUUCUUGAAAGACAUAGAUCAGCAUUUGGCUACUCUCUCGAGGAUCUCACGGGCAUUAGUCCCAUUCUCUGCACUCAUCGUAUCCCUAUUGAUCCUAAUUUUACACCUACAAGGGAACCACAACGGAGACUUAAGAAUGCUAUGCGAGAGGUUGUUAAGAAAGAGGUCCUCAAACUCUAUCGUGCUGGGAUUAUUUAUCCUGUGCCACAGUGAGUGGGUUAGCCCUGUCCAAGUAGUGCCAAAGAAAGGAGGAAUGACGGUCGUUAGGAAUGAGAAGAAUGAACUCAUCCCUCAACGAAUUGUCACUGGGUGGCGUAUGUGUAUUGACUAUCGAAAACUCAAUAAGGCUACAAAGAAAGAUCAUUUUCCGUUACCCUUCAUUGAUGAAAUGUUGGAACGGCUUGCAAACCACUAUUUCUUUUGUUUCCUUGAUGGUUAUUCUAGAUAUCACCAAAUCCCAAUCCACCCAGAUGACCAAGAAAAGACUACCUUUACAUGCCCGUAUGGAACUUAUGCAUACCGACGAAUGUCGUUCGGAUUGUGCAAUGCUCCAGCUUCUUUCCAAUGGUGCAUGAUGUCUAUUUUCUCGGACAUGAUUGAGAAGAUCAUGGAGGUUUUCAUAGAUGAUUUUACAGUCUAUGGCAAAACCUUCGAUCAUUGUUUGGAUAAUUUAGAUAGAGUCUUGCAGCGAUGUGAAGAAAAACACUUAAUCCUGAAUUGGGAGAAAUGCCAUUUUAUGGUUCGGGAAGGAAUAGUGCUAGGACAUAAAGUGUCCGAAUGUGGUAUAGAGGUGGACAAAGCAAAGAUUGAAGUUAUUGAAAAACUUCCACCUCCCACGAAUGUGAAAGGAAUCCGUAGCUUUUUAGGACAUGCGGGGUUCUAUAGACGCUUUAUCAAGAACUUCUCUCAAAUUGCUAGACCCCUAACUAGUCUCCUAGCUAAGGAUGCACCUUUCAUCUUUAGUGAUGAGUGUCAUGAAUCUUUUCAAACUCUUUAGAAAGCACUCAUCUUAGCCCCAAUCAUCCAACCACCUGAUUGGAAUCUUCCUUUUGAGAUCAUGUGUGAUGCUAGCGAUUUUGCGGUUGGUGCCGUUUUAGGACAAACCAAGGAUAGAAAGCAUUAUGCCAUAUCCUACGCUAGCAAAACCUUGUCUGGACCACAGCUCAAUUACACUACAACUGAAAAAGAGCUUUUGGCUGUUGUCUUUGCUAUAGACAAGUUUAGAUCUUACUUAGUGGGGGCAAAGAUAAUCAUCUAUUCAGAUCAUGCUGCUCUCAAGUACCUCCUCACUAAGAAAGAUGCUAAGCCUCGUCUAAUUCGAUGGAUUCUUCUACUCCAAGACUUUGACAUAGAAAUCCGAGAUAGGAAGGGAGUACAGAAUUCCGUAGCCGACCACUUAUCUAGGCUUCAAUAUAAGGAAACACAUGAUGAGCUUCCCAUAAAUGACUACCUAAGGGAUGACACCCUGCUUAAGAUAACACAUGCAGAUCCAUGGUACGCAGACAUCGUAGACUUUAUAGUAAAAGGCUAUGUCCCACCUGGUGCAAACAAAAGGAAGUUGCUUCACGAUAGUCGUUUCCACCUUUGGGAUGAGCCAUAUCUUUUCCGAGUCUGCGCUGAUGGACUCUUGAGAAGGUGUGUUCCUAUGGCUGAGGCUACUCAAAUGAUGGAAAGAUGCCAUGCCUCGCCAUAUGGAGGACACUAUGGAGCAUUUCGGACACAUGCUAAAAUUUGGCAAAGUGGUUUUUUCUAGCCAACGAUGUAUGAAGAUACAAAGGACUUUGUCAGGAGAUGCCACCGAUGUCAAAAACAUGGGAAUAUCAACUCACGAAAUGAAAUGCCUCUCACAAAUAAUCUUCAAGUAGAACUUUUCGAUGUAUGGGGCAUUGAUUUCAUGGGGCCAUUCCCUAUGUCUGGGAAUUGCGAGUAUAUCUUAGUAGCUGUGGACUACGUGUCCAAAUGGGUAGAAGCCCUACCUUGUCGAUCAGCUGAUUCAAAACAUGCCAAGAGAAUGUUCCAUGAAGUAAUCUUUCCUCGCUUUGGUAUACCCCGGAUAGUUAUAAGCGAUGGAGGUUCCCACUUCAUCGACAAAAUCUUCCUAAAGUACCUAGCCGAUCAUGGAGUUCGACACAACGUCGCAACACCAUACCAUCCCCAGACUAGCGGUCAAGCCGAAACAUAUAACAAACAAAUCAAAAAUAUUUUACAAAAGACCGUAGAUGAGAUGGGUAAGGGGUGGAAGGACAAACUUCCUGAUGCACUUUGGGCAUAUAGAACUGCAUUCAAAACACCCAUAGGCAUGUCACCUUAUCAACUUGUAUAUGAAAAAACUUGUCACUUGCCUGUGGAAGUAGAGUUUAAGGCUCAUUGGGCACUCAAGAAAUGGAACAUGGAUCUCCACCUCGCUAUCGAGAAUCGUCUGAUGCAACUAUCUGAGCUAGAAGAACGGAGAGAGAAAGCCUACCACAAUUCAAGGAUCUAUAAAGAGAGAACAAAACGAUGGCAUGAUAAGAGAAUCAAGCACAAGGAGUUUAAGCCUGGAGAUACGGUUCUACUAUUCAAUUCAAGAGUUAAGCUCUUUGGGCAUGGUAAGCUACGAAGUAAGUGGGAUGGACCAUACAAGGUUAUUGACACUUCAACUCAUGGAGCCAUUACCAUCCAAGACGACAUAGGUAACACUUUUAAGGUGAAUGGUCAACGCUUGAAAAUCUAUCUCGAGCCACAAAACAACCUGGUAGAGGAACUUGAUGUGAUUGAGUUCAUAGAAUUCUCAUAUUAAGCUCUCAUAAGCUCUAGACAAUUACCUAACCCUUAACAUGCUCCACAAGUUUUGUUGUCUAUUUGGGUUGUGCAGAAUUUUGAGGCUUAAGAAGAGUGAGACCGAACAUGCAGGCCAGAAGAGUGAACGACUAUGUCAACAUCCAGCUUGGGGGAGGCACCCCCACGUGUAUCUAGAUAAGUAUUACUUUUCUUUCUUGGGUUUAUUUACUAGUAUUCGGAAAUAAAAAAAAUGCAUAACCAUGAAACCAAACAAAGUUUUUAUUUUGAGUAAUAUACAAUAGUUUGUGUAAUCCUAAGUCUUAAAUAAAAUAAAAAGAAAGUUUGAUUCAAGUCUAGGUAAUUAACAAACAUGAUAUGAGAAGGUUUGAGCUACUAUUUAACUUGUUCCAAGUUUUGCUAGACUUCUGGAGAUUUUAUCUUUUGAAAAUCUAAAAAUAAAUGAGAUCCUGUUUGACAUAAUACCUAGAGUCUUAUAAGAUAUAAAUACUAAAACUGUGGGCACUUGCUUUGUUCAAGCCAUUGUUAAUUCUGGUAGUUUUGGUGGAGAGAAUUAUCAUGCUCUAAAGAUCAAGAUCUUUUUGUUUAAAAAUAUAAAAGAUUCACUCUUUCGAAGUAUUAUUGCGUUAGAGGCAUGGGACUAUGCAAAAAUUUGAUUUGAAAAAAAAGAGUGAGACGAGAGGUAAACAUGGACAAGUGUCCGAAGUAGAAUUAGGGAUACAAAGAUACCCACCUGAGUGGAAAAAAAAGGACAUGUGUCCAACAGUAUAAUUAGGGGUACUUGCUGCCCACUUGAAAAAAAAGAGACUGAAAAAAAAGAGAAAAAAAAGAAGAAAAAAAUGAUAGCCCAUGGUACCUCUAAUAAGCAAUAUGCCAGUAAGAGAUGACAAACUUUUCAAAAAGGUCAAAGGUCUUGAUCUAGGAGUAUGACAUUCCUCUCCCUUGCUCCGAGCAUUGACAUAGCAAAAUGCAAAGUAAGUAUGCUAAAAUUUUUAAAGCUCUACUUAUAUAUCUUUCGAGAAGAAGGCAAAUACCUCAGUUUUAUUUUGGAAACUUACAAACAACUCCAGAACAAAGGUAAGACAGAAGAGCUUGAGACAUAGUGCUUGACUUGAUCGUUCUGUUUUUCAAUCACUAAAGACCUUAAAAACCCUGUAGUAAGAGGCAUAAAAGUAACCCCUAUUUUCUUGCUGAUUUUAGCUUUGCUCAGGGACGAGCAAAGGUUAAGCUUGGGGGAGCUUGUUGACGGUCCUUAAUGCUCACAUUUAACCAUCAACUAAUUAUGGAAAAGGACUUAUAUGCAACCAACACUUAGACUUAGGGUUUUAUCUGACAGAAUUCCACGAGUUUUGGUGUUUGUCUAUUUCUGCAGGGGGUUAUCAGGAAAUAUGAAAAAAAGGCCCAUACGUUGGGUUUACAUAGAGAUAUUAACGUGUCGCCCAAUUUUCUACGAUCUAGAAGACUCGAGAAGCCACAGGAACGAACGGGAGGCUGAUCGGGCCCGGGGGCAGGGCGCCCGCCCUCCCCCCUUGGGUGCCCACCCAGCUACAGUAACCAAUAUGCUUUAACUUCGCGGAUCGUGCUCCACCGACCUAAGGGAUCAAGGAAAACCGUGCGAUUAAUGUCGGUUUGAUCCGAUGGCCCAGAUUCAUCUGAAAAGACUAUAUAAGCAAGGCCCCCUGGCCCCUGGAGAGCAUACCUCUUCUACAGAAUCAAAGCUAGGGUUUCAAUUCUUCAUCUAAGUAGAGAGGAUCCCUCUAGUUCAUCUAGUUCUACCUCUAGUUCAUCUAGUUCUAGUUCUAGUUCCUCUAGUUCUAGUUCUAGUUAGUUCUAGUUGUAAUCUAGAAAAUAGGGAGAGAGAAGAGGAGAGCGGAGGAGGAGGAGCCAGAUCUGUCGGAUCUUCCUCAACAUUGUACUUUUGCAGCAACUGGUUCGUUCUUCAACGUUCUCCAGGUUCUUCAAUUCAUAAUCCUGAGUUCUUUAAUUACUUUUAUUUACAUUCAAGUUAUUUAUUGGAUUCCCGCUUGCAUCAAGUGCUCUAAUCUUUGCAACAUUAGAGUAGUAAUUAAUAGAUUAGACGUGGUAUUUAGUCUUGCAAUGGUAGCCCUAGGGUAGUGACAGCCCUAACGGUCGACGUAUUCCUCCUCGUUCGGAUCGGUGUUUGUAGGACCGCAGUCAGAGCUUCCUAGCCCCCUUCUCAUCUCUUUCUGUGGUANNNNNNNNNNNNNNNNNNNNNNNNNNNNNNNNNNNNNNNNNNNNNNNNNNNNNNNNNNNNNNNNNNNNNNNNNNNNNNNNNNNNNNNNNNNNNNNNNNNNNNNNNNNNNNNNNNNNNNNNNNNNNNNNNNNNNNNNNNNNNNNNNNNNNNNNNNNNNNNNNNNNNNNNNNNNNNNNNNNNNNNNNNNNNNNNNNNNNNNNNNNNNNNNNNNNNNNNNNNNNNNNNNNNNNNNNNNNNNNNNNNNNNNNNNAACACUACCACAGAAAGAGAUGAGAAGGGGGCUAGGAAGCUCUGACUACGGUCCUACAAACACCGAUCCGAACGAGGUGGAAUACGUCGACCGUUAGGGAUGUCACUACCCUAGGGCUACCACAACAAUCCGCAGGAUUGGGUGCAAUUCCAGGUAACUGCAAGACUAAACACCACGUCUAAUCUAUUAAUUACUACUCUAGCAUUUCAAAGACUAGAGCACUUGAUGCAAGCGGGAAUCCAGUAAAUAACUUGAAUGUAAAUAAAGUAAUUAAAGAACUCAGGAAUUAUGAAUUGAAGAACCUAGAGAACGAUGAAGAAUGAAAGAGUUGCUGCCAAAGUAGAAUGUUGAGGAAGAUCCGACAGAUCCGGCUACUCCUCCUCCGCUCUCCUCUUCUCUCUCCCUAUUUUCUGGAUUACAACUAGAACUAACUAGAACUAUAACUAGAGGAACUAGAACUAGAACUAGAUUAACUAGAACUAGAACUAGAUGAACUAGAGGUAGAACUAGAUGAACUAUAGGGAUCCUCUCUACUUGGAUGAAGAAUUGAAACCCUAACUUUGAUUCUGUAGAAGAGGUAUGAUCUCCAAGGGCCAGGGGACCUUGCUUAUAUAGUCUUUUCAGAUGAAUCUGGGCCGUCGGAUCAAACCGACAUUGAUCGCACGGUUUUCCUUGAUCCUUUAGGUCGGUGGAGCAUGAUCCCCGAGUUGUACCCUGAUUGGGCAGAAUAGGAGGCGGGCGCCCUAAGGACUAAGGCGGGCGCCCUGUCCGUGAGCCCUCUCGGCUUCCGCUUUGUUUCCAUGGCUUCUAGAGUCUUCUAGAUGAUAGAAAAUUGCGCAGCACGUUCAUAUCUCUAUGUAAACCCGACGUGUGUGCCUUUCUUCCGUAUUUCCUGAUAACCCCCUGCAAAAAUAGACAAACACCAAAACUCGUGGAAUUCUAUCAGAUAAAACCCUAAGUCUGGGUGUUAGUUGCAUUUGGAUCCUUUUUCAUGAUUAGUUGGUGGUUAAAUGUGAGCAUUAAGGACAGUCAACAAGAUACUAGAGUUCUAGAUAUUUUUAUUUGAAAAUCUUAAAAUUGCUAUAUGAUGAGUUCCUUCAUGACGAGAGUUCCAAAUUCCUACCACAACCAAAUUCAUACCAGUGUCACAUUUUACCUGGAGGUUUUAAAUAUCAUAUCCACAGGAAACAGUUGUGAUGAUCACAAAGUACAUAGACUUAACCCUAUAAUUAGGCUAGAUCAUAUAAAGAAAAAGGAAAUAGCUAAUGCACUCUGGUUCUGACUCCGGUAAACUUUGUAUAAUAUUGUCUUAUCGGGCAAGUAACCCGAAUAGGAGAAGAAUCAGAGUAAUCUCCUACCAGGCACCUAUAAGCCUAUGAGUCCUAUCAAUGGGAAGUGGACUACAGAGGAAUGAACGCAGCUAUAAAGUCACCUACGCGAACUACCACUAUCCGGCUGAUUAGGGGAUAUCCACAAGUAAACCUAGCCUAGGCACCACGCCUACACUACAAAAUACUACUUCAACCAAGUAACGAUCAAGAUCAAAGCAGUCAAUAUGAGUUGUGAACUAAAGAAUGAAUAAGAACAAGUUGCUUACUUAACAGAGAAGGAUAAGUAUAAAAGUACCUCAGAAUGCAGCUCCGUGUGAGGGAACUGAAUCCAAACAAAUACAACCAUGAAGAAGCACCGACAGGCUAGAACUCCUCCAGAAUCUCUACUCCUCUACUUAAUCUCUCUAAUCUCUAAACAAGACUAGAUCUAGAAGAACUAGUCUCUCCUAAUUGCUACAUCUAGUUGAACUAGAACUAUCAACUAGAGGUAUCCUAACCCUAAUUAUGUAGAGAAUAUGAAGCACCGGUGUGUAGAAUGCCUCUUGGGGGAGCCUUGGGCGUCAUUAUAUAGGCUGAGGUGGAGUAGGGGGCAAGGAACCGCCACGUCAGCGAUCCGCGUUUCAUCUUGUGUGCACGGUCGGAUCAAACCGACUUAAAAUUGACGAAGGGAUACUUUGGUUGGCUUCCAAGGAGGUGUGGGAGGAAGACUCCAGAAGGCGGCGGGCAUCGGGCAAAGUAGGGCGCCGACCGGCCCCACGGUGGGGCCGGCCGGCCCCACCUUCUCUCCUCUGCCACUCUCAUUCCUUCGGGUGUCUUCUAGACCCUUCUUGAGUCUUCUCAUGAUGUUUUCCAGCGCGGAUGAGUUUCGUGGUAAAUAUGCACUAGAAUCCCUCUUUUCAGCUCUCUGUGAAAUAAACGUUGGAAAAUACAUAAUAUGCAAAACUCAUGGAAAUUGUCAGAUAAAACCCUAGACUAGUGUGUUUUCGUGUGUUCCCUUGUGUCUAAAGUUCUAAUAAAUAUUGACCUUAUUGACCAUCAAAAAUUCCCCCAAGCUUACCUUUUGCCAGUCCCUUGGCAAACAACCCAAGCCUAAUUAAUAAACUUGGAUCAAGAGUUGCUACGAUACUUUCAUUUCCUUUAAGUACACUUGCUUUUAAACAUAACUUGCCCUCUGUUCUAAUUUUUAAACUUACCCAUUUUACCUUUAACCAUGGAGCUUUAUAGCUUUUGCAUAAGUCUUGAGUAAUCGAAAGAUAGAACAAUCAAGUCAAGCACUAUGUCUCAAAUUCUUCACAGUACCAAUAUUUUGGAGUUUUGCAAAUUUUUGAAAUAAAACUCGGAGCUUAAUUGUAUGAUACCCUCAAGUCUCUUAAUAUAUAGUAUUUAUGGAUCUCACUGAGGCAUUAAUAAUGUCAUGCCUUCCUACAACUAAGCAUCUAUAGUGGAGCUUAUAGGAGUGGGAAUAACAAGGAUGAGCAUACUUGCAAUUCAUAUAUUGUGAAGUCAAACAAUGGAUCCAUAGAGAAUCGAGGCAUACAAUCAAAUAAAAAUGUGCAUAUAUGGAAUAUGGUGGAUAGGUGUAUAUAUAGUAUUUAGUGGCUAAUCCUAAUUCUACUUUUGCUCUUUGAAAAUUACUCCCUCCUUAGAACUUUUCGUGGAAAAGCAUGGGCCAUCUUUAUUCUCUCUUUCUCUCUUUUUUAAUCUGGGAGGCAGGCAUCGAUGUACCCAUUGUUUUAAUUGCUGAGAUACUUGUCCAUCUUUUACUCCUUUUUUUCUUUUUUUAAAUACUUUUUCAUAGCCACAUGCAUCCUUUGAAUACAAAUAAUUGGAGAGAUAAUGAUAAGAACUUAGAGCAAUUAAGUGGGGGCUAUCCUAUAGGGUAUAUUUUUUGGUGUUUACCCCUAGUGUAGGAGAAAACACAUUUUUUUAAGGUGGAUCUAGAUGAAGGUGAAAAUGACUGUGUUUACAUCCUAGAGUAGGAGUAAUGCAUAUGUGGGUGGAGUGCGUAAGUGAUCUUAAUUUAAAAAGCAUGACAAGACUCUCAUAAGGUAUACUAAAGGUUGACCGAACUCAAGUAGCAUGAAUGCGCAAAGGUUUUUCUAACUCUAAAUGUAUCAUAUAUGGCUUUGGUAGGAAUUUAAACUUUAUCAUACAAGAGCUCAUCAUGUAAGAGUUUGGGUUUUUGAAAAUAAAUCUCCAUAACUUAAUAAUGCUAGGAAUAAGAUAAAUAGCAGCUUAGACCUUCAUGUAUAAUAUCAAUUACCCAUACUUAGCUUAAACAUAUGCCUCCACAAAUUUUAAGUUCAGAGUAAACUCUUAAAGUGGCCAUGUCUAAAACUCAGGAGAAUCCAUGGUUGAAAACUAGGCACUUGAAAGGAAUUACUAUAGAGCAACUAUUCAUCAUCUCCAAGACAAAAUUUUAAUAUUCUCUAAUUUUUAUUUGACUCUAAACUAGACUGUAGACACACUCUACGAUGACACCUUAAUAUAUAGAUAUGUAUUUUGUUUGGUUUUUUAUUCAUUUCUGUUGGACUCAGGAGACUCUAAAGACAUGGACCUUCACGUGCCCAUAUAUUUUUGGUAUUUUUUAUAUUUUCUUAUGAUACUAUUGUGAACCUUCAUGUGCUCACAUAUUUUUGGUAAUUUGUGACUAUAUAAAAUAGACUCGAUAAUUGCUUAGGUAUAGUUACCUAAUAAUUAGGGGAUGCUCCUCCCCCAAGCUAGAAGUUUGCAAUAGUUGGUGUUGAUGAUCUAAAGAGUGAGCUAACCGGCAUCGCUCCAGGUGGGUGCCACUAAUAGACUCCCUCUGUCGGUGGUUUCCCCACGGGGUGUCACACCAACGAGUGAAUUUGUAUGCGUGCUCCCUUUCCCAGAUGGUGAUGCAAAAAGACACACAAAGAUUUAUCCUGGUUUGGGCAAGAGAAGGCCCUACGUCCAGCGGGGGGAGAGAGUUUGUAUUAUUUUGCACCUAAGUGCUUGUACAGGGGUGAAUACAAGCAUGAUAUGGAGCGGGAUGGAGUAUGGAAGUUCCACUACGUAUGGGUGUAGUGUUGCGUGAUGUCCUGUCUGUUCGCUCCCGGGCCUCCCCUUUUAUAGUGCCAAGGAGGGGCCUAGGGUACAAGUAUAGGCGUCAGAGUAGGGGUCGAUAGAGGUAUGGCGCGCAUACCUACUCGAGGCCUCCGUACCGGCGUGGUCUCGAGCCGUCCUGUCCCGGUAGCUUGAUGAUGAUUACGCAUGCCCCUAGAUCCCGCUCCGUGCGCCGUCGUGGACUGGUUUAUCAGUCGCACGCCUGUACGUCAUGGCGGCAGAUACGUCGGAGUGGCUGCAGUGUUGUUAGUCGACGCCCAACCCUUCCUCAGGAAGGAAACAUGUCUGGUCAAGGGUCGGACGCCGUGUAGCACCUUGCUAUCCAGAGCAUUGACCUUAGGCGUCUCGAGGGGAUCUUGAUUAGACGUUCCAUCCCUGCUUCCCGCGUCCUGACAUGCUCUGGGUUGUUUGGUGGGGAAGGCUGCAAAAAGAAUGAUGGGACGGGUGCCUGUUCCCUAUCACGCUUCCUGUGACUGGCGUGUUAGGUGGGAACGUGACAGGCGCAUUAAAUGCCCCGGUACCCGUGCGCGCGUCAGGCGGUGGGCAGCGUCCUUGCGCUCGACGCCUCCUGGUUCGCUCGAGCCUGUUUCCGUAUUCGACGGUAGUUGGUGCUCGAGCCCUGACCGAUUCGCUCGACGCCUUUUCCGUCUUCGAGGCUGUGGUCGUUGAUGACUGUAUGCGGACUGAUCAGAUCGUCGAGUUGAGGGCCUCGACCUGCGUACGAACAAUCUUGUUAUGUACAUCAGUUAGGAUACCCCUUACUGAUACCCUCGACAGUAGCCCCUGAGUCUCCAUUUGAGCGCUGGCGCUCGAGUGGAGGCUUUAUUUUGCGGUCGAAUUUCUGUAGGGGUAGCCCCCGAGGCCUUGGAGGAGUUUUUGACUCCUUCGAGGGUUAUAUUGCCUAAUUCGCAGAAACGCUGUCGACACUAGUGGUGGAAGGUUCUGGUUGGCUCGUUUUGUGCAGGGGGUUUCGACGUACUCUCGAUAGAGCGAGCGUCAUCCACCCCGGAUUGAGCUCCUAACGGGUAGUCCAAGUGAGAACCUGUGCCCCUUUCGAGGGGGUCAGCUGUAGCCCGGAGGCGUUCUCAUAAAGCGGGGUCGACGUGGUCGGGGAUGCUGGUCUCGUUCGAUAGAGUCCAGUGGCUUGAUGCCUCCCGUCGGGGGGAUUCCUCUCGACUGUCUCGACCCUACCUUGGACAUCCCUAGCGAGUUCUAGAGGUGGGCCUCGAUUUUCGACCACUCGCUAGGCAUCCCUGACUCUGGUGCUCGAGAUCGGCUGUCGAACUCUUUCGGCAGGUCAGCCUGCGACCUCUCGAGGCUUUCGUGGGUGCGUUCCUUGGCUUACAAGGGAAGGAAGAGGCCGUGGCGGUUCGCCUUUUUGCCCGUUGGGCGCACCUUUUCAGGCGGGAGCCGUUGCGACACUGUAUCGGUGCAGAAUUCGGAGCGCCCCAUCUGUGAGGAGGAAAAUGACCGUUAGGCGGCGCAUUUAUGUGGGGAGUUACCUCAUUUAUCGGAUCCGUCCGUUGGUGGGUUGCUGCCUAUAAAUAUCCCGUGGUAUCGCCGCCGUUCUCCCUUCCGCCUUCUGUCUUCAUCUUUGCCUUAGCUCUCUCGCCGUCUUAGCUCUCUUGCCAUCUCACGCGCGCUCACCCCCUCGGGCAGUAGCGAAUCUGCCCUCCUUCCGUCCAAGAUGCCUAUGAGACUCGUUGCUGCCGACGACUGGCACCCGGCGUCGAUGACGGAACGCCGGUUGCUGGAGCUUGAGAGGGAGGGACUCCUGCGCCACCGCACAUCGCCGUCGUCGCCGGAGUGGAUCGCGCCACCAGUGGACCAAAGGGAGCCCAAGCCGCCCAAGGGCUAUGUGGUUUCGUUCGCUAAGUUCCACCGCCAUGGCCUGGGUGCUCCUCUGAGCCGCUUCAUGCGGACGCUCUGCCACCAUUACGGGGUGGAGCUCCAGCACUUCUCCCCAAAUGCCAUCACCGUCGCGGCGUUCUUUGCCGCGGUGUGUGAGGGUUAUUUGGGGAUGAUGCCCCACUGGGAGCUGUGGCUCCACCUCUACAGGGGCGAGCUCUUCAACGCCCCCACUGGAGCCGCCGAAGUGAGGAAACCCGUGCGGGCUGUGUGCCUGAACCUGGUGCUGAAGACGGGGAAGACGGAGAGGCCACGGGAGUACAUCCCGGUGGGAUUAUCGUCGAACCAUGCCGGAUGGGACUCCCAAUGGUUCUAUCUAUGGAACGACGACGGUCUCCUCCCUGCCUACACCGGCCGCCUGAUUACGGAGCGCCCGGAGAACUGGACAUACGGCGUCGUCCAGGUCCACCAGUCGCGGCUCGACCCCCUCCUUGACGCCUUGAAGAAGCUACGCAUGGAGGGCCUGUCUACUGCUCUCGUCCUCUCGGCCGUCCAUCAUCGGAGAGUUCUCCCGCUGAUGUCUCGGCCGCUGAGGAUGGAUGAGAUGGGGCCCGGCGCUUUGUCCCGGGACCUCGAGGCAUGCCGGAUGUCCAACGAGGCUCCGGCGGACGAUGAGGUCGCGGCCCGGGUCAGGGCAGCCGUUGCCGACGACUUCCAGCCAGAGCACGUUAAUGGCUUCCCCAUGAGGCCCGACGCGGGCUCGAUCGACCUUGUACGUUCUUUUCUUGUAUACGGCUUUGAUUCUAGAUCUCUUUCGAUCCCCUUUCAAGCUUGUCUUUGUUCUGGCAGGGACAGAUCGAUGUCCGAUCCUCGAGGCCUCCAGUAAAGGAGGACGAGGCCGACCAUGUCAAGCGGCGCCAGUCUGCUGAGAAACAAAAGUCCGCCAAGGACUCUAAGAAGAAAGGGAAAAAGAAAAAGAACCUCGACCGCCAAGCGCUAGAGGCGCGUCGAGCUAAGUCCAGGCAGAGGGGGGAGCCUGACGAGGAAUCCCCCAGUGAGGAUGAUGGUGGAGACGGUGAUGAUGACAGCGAUGACUCCGAGGGGAUGGCGUCUCGCCUCGACCGGAUCCUCGAGGGUCCGCCUCGAGGUGACGUCGACGCCCCCCGGACGGGGGCACAAAAGGAGGGGCCAGGCGGAUCUCACCGCCCCCGCGCUGACACCUCUCCCGUGCCUGCGCCAAGUCAGGCCGUCCUGCCCCACCAACCUCCCCCUGCACCAAAAGCGGGUGGCCGGGCUAAGCCCCAAGCGACGGGGCCGUUGACCCAUGGCCGCGCCGCGGCCUCCGACAAGGGAGACACUAGCCGCAGGAGCACUAGCCCCGGCGCCCGCCAGGUGGGAGACGCUGGACCAAGGCCUGCGCCUGCCCGUGAGGGGACUGGAGUCUCAACGCGGGGUGGUUCGAGGUCCACUGGUCGAGGUACCGGCAGGCGAGCCGUUCUCUCUGUGGGGUAAGUUCUUCGACGCUAUGAUUCCCAUCUUCCUGUUUCCUUGCGCUUUCUCGUAUAACGGUCUUCCUUACGCUCAUUUCUUUUUCCUCAGGUUGAAGCGGACGCUUGAGCAGGCCCAGCCUUCAAUGGCAUAAAGGCUCAAGGUGGGAGCGGCCUCCAAGGAUUCAGGUUAGUUACUUAUUCCCGUUGUUAUGGGAUUUGUGUUGUUCUUACGUCGACCACCAUAAUGACUGACCUUUGUUUUUUGCUUUAUAGGCUCCUCCGACCCUCAACCACCGACUGGUACCGAGGGUGCCCCGCCCCAUCCCCUGGCGGGUGAGUCUGCCCCGUCGUCGCCAAAACAAGCCGAGGCGCCUCAGCCCCAAGGGCAGGAGGGAGCCCCUGAGCCUCCCCGAUCAGGGGUCAAGGGGGAUCCCAUUACCAUAAGUGAUGGAUCUGGCGGCGACGGGACCUCGAGGGAUGCCCGUCCUAUGGACGAGGAGGCCCAGACUUCUCUCGUCGCGAGACGGACGCCCUGGCCUGCCGGGCUUCGCUCCAUCGAGGAGCAGAAGAAGAAAGAAAAGGAGGAGCGUGAGCAAGAGACGCCGCGGCAACUGCAGGAGCAGGACCAUCAACAAGAGCCGCGGGAGCUUGAGGAGCAGCAGCAGCGGAGGGGCCUGUUGACGGUCCUUAAGUGUCAAAUUUAAUUAUCAAAUAAAUAAAGAAAAGGAUCUAAAUGAAAUCAACAUCUAGACUUAGGGUUUCAUCUGAUAGAAUUCCACGAGUUUUGGUGUUUGUCUAUUUCUGCAGGGGGUUAUCAGGAAAUACGGAAGAAAGGCCCACACGUCGGGAUUACAUAGAGAUAUUAACGUGCCGCGCAAUUAUCUUACAUCUAGAAGACCCCAGAAGCCACGAGACCGAAGCGGAGGCGAACGAGGCCUGACCCUGGGCGCCCGCCCACCUCCUGAGUCCAAUCAGGACUCUGCUUUGCGAGAGAUCUCCACCGACCUAAAGGAUGAAUCUAAACCAUACAAUCUAUAUCGGUUUGAUCCAACGACCCAUAUUCACUUGAAGGGACUAUAAAACCAGACCCCUUGGCCCCUGGAGGAGAGAGCCUCUCAACCCUAAUUCAUUGUUCCUCAAGGGAGAAGAAGCCUCUGAUCAAGAUUAGAGCCACCACAUCUAUUAGAUAUCUAGAUUAGCAUAGCUACAUAGGAUUAGAACUAGAAGGAGUCAAUCUUCGAUUGGUUUCCGGAUCUGUCAGGAGGAUUCUUGGUAAUUCUCUAAUUGUGCUUCUAAUUACUUUCUAAUUAUCUUUGUUCUUAAUAUUAUGAAUAUGACUUUGUUCUACUUCAAUAUAUUGCUUAUGACUUUGCUCUACUUGUUUAUAUUCAAGAUUAUAUUGUUCUUAGUUUAUCAUAGUUAUGUACUUGGCUUAGUUAGAUUGGAUCUAUAUACAUGCUUAGGAUCGUAUAGCGUUUAUCCAUCGGAUCCAUGGUUAAAUGAUAGAUAUUGUGUAGGCGUGGUGCUUAUACAGUAUUUAUCUGCGAUUGUACCCAAUAUGCCAGAUCGUGGGAUAGUUCGUGGUAGUGAUAGCUUCAUUGAUUCUUAUGUAGUCCCCCUCUCGUGUAUUGGGCUGGCAGAGCAAUAUUAUUACAGGAGAGUGAUUGCUAUGUUUCUCAUUUACCUUGCUAAUAUCACUAUGCAUGGGCGUAGUCUUGUCUCGCAAUGAUUGCUAAGUAUGGUUGCACUAAUUAUGAUAUGCUAGACUAUAUAGUUGAGAAUAACUUAGGAAAUAUUCUUGUAGUUCGUUCUAAUACCAUGCUAAUGACUUUCUAGAGUAUCUAAUUGAGGUGCUUAUUAUAUUUAUUAUGUGGCUAGAUCAGAUUAAUUAUCCUUGUCACUAUUAUUAUUUCAUAUAUCUUUUAUGUGACACUUAUCCCUGUAUGAAGAGUUAGAUAUAAUGUUCUCAAUUAUACAUGCAAUGAUAGAUGCUCAAUCUCAUAUUCUAUUCUAUAAUCAAUAUUGAUGAUUGCUAAUCCCUUCCCAGUGGUAAAAAUAUAAAUAAUGAUACCUGGAAUACUUCCCUGUUAAAAUACUGCAUCGGUAUUUAUCUGUGCGCUUGCAGAUCCCAUUCAUUAUUUAUUUAGAAGAGCAAUUGCAUAUUUCAAUACCGCGUCUCUCAUGUCAUGCUAGGGAUGACAACUUGGCUUAAGUGGUGUGAGGGAUAGGUUUGGCAUUUUUGGCACCGUUACUAGAUUUAGAGAACUUAUUCUACUUUUGGUAAUGAUAUUAAGAAUACCCAACAGGGCCAGACGUCGGAGGAACCGCUCGAGCCACCUCCUCACAGUCCGCCCCAAUCUUUACUACCGGCGCCGCAAGAGCUCGGGAACCACGAAGAGGGUCUGCCGGUUUUCGGCCCUCCGACCCCGGCGUGGCUCCAUCCAGGGGCGCCCGCCGCGAUCCCAGUAGAGUCGGGGCGGACGGACGGUGUGGUGGCGCUUGCCUGCAUGAUGCGCACCCCCGUCGACCCCGAGUCCGAGAUUAGGAGGACGAUCUACGGCAUGGACGGGAUUGCUCUGGGGUUCCUCCGGGAGCGUCGGUCGUGGGAGGACCGUAUUCCCGCCUAGGAGAACGAGGCUGGGACGUCGAGCGGUGGCGGAGGCAACGAAACAGACACCUGGAAGACGGUGGACGACGACGAGCGGUUCCCCUCCCUCGUCGACUUGUUCCUACGCCAUGGGGGGUCCCUCGAGACCGUCGAGGAGCUCAUCCGCGGCGUCAAGGCGCGGGCCGACCAGGAGAUGGAGAACUGGUGCCCCGAUCGGAUCCACAUUCGGGCUUCCACCGAUCCGUCUGAGCCCAACAUCUUCCUAGACGAUCGGAAGGAGGCUGAGAAGUGGGAGCACGUCGAGGAGCUCCGCCUCUGGAUGAAGCACACGGUGGGGCUCCUAUCGAACGUUGUAAACAACGGGCUCAGACCAGCCUACUUUGUAAGUAUUGUUCAGUCUUUCAAUCUUUGUGGAACUUGUUGGUUUUGUGUUCUAACUGCUCGAUCACCGGCUCGCAGGACCUGAAAGAGACCUCCCGCAUUAAGUCAAGCUUCAUUCACGUCACGAGAGGCGGCUGGGAGCAGCUCCCCAUCCUCAAGGACCAACUCCUGGAGUCGCAGGAGAAACUCCUCAAGGCUUACAAAGAGCUCUUAGCGCUCGAGGAGGAGAAAAAGGAGAGGGAGGCUGCCUUAGUCGAGGCUCGAGAGGCCUCAAGGAAGGCGGUGGAAGAGGCUGUGCUGCUGAGGGAGCGGGCUCUGAUGGUCGAGGAGGCUGCGUCCAAAGCCUGGGAGGAGGCCCUGUCCUACAAGAACGUCGUUGCUGACCUGGACAAGGAGAAGGGCCUCCUCAAGACUGACCUGGCCUCCCUCCGAGAAUCCUUCCAGAGGAUGAAUAUGGAGUAUGUGAACAGCGAGGUCGCCAGGAGCGCCACAGAUGAGGCAAAGAAGAAGGCCCUUGAAGACCUCGAGGCGGAGCGGGCUCGAUCCCGCAGCCUCUCUGAUGACGUCGAUCGUCUGAAGAGGGCGCUGCUGGAGAAGGAAGGAGCCAUCACGUAGGCUGGCAAGGCGAUCGUGGAUCUACGCGUCGCCAACACCGUGCUGGCGCGCUCUAACAGGGAGGUCGAGAGUGCCAACACCAAUUUAAAAACACGGCUCUAGAGGAGAGCAUCCGUUGUAUGUUUUCUAUUAUCGAGUUUCUUUCCUAAGGCAUGUUUGGCAUUAUCUAAUCCACUCACUUUGAUUCUUGCAGGGCUCAAGGACGAGCUGCUGGCUGCCCAAGUCGAGCCCGCUCCAUCAAGACCCAGCUCGAGGGGGAGGUCGCCUUGAACGGUCGUCUAAGGACUACGAUAAGCAACCUCUCGGCCUCCUGGGAGCUCGAGCCUAUUGACAAGUGGAGGGAGGAGGCUCGGGGCGACGCACUCGUCGACCAGCUAUGCUAUCUUGGAGCUACGCUAAGAGACCGGGUGCGGGACGCCCUCCACGUCGGAGUGAAGCGGGCGAUGGCGGUAGUCUGCUCAGGCUUCUCCAACGACAUGGAGGUGGUGUCCCACAGCUUCGUCACCGACAUCUCUAAGACUGACGCAGAGAACGAGGUGAGGCUCCAUGCCUUGAUCGACGAUGCAGAGGUUCCUGGAGAGAGGUUGGCUAAGCUAUUCGAGUUAGAGGUACUUCCUCCUGAGACUAGCUCAGGCGCGGAUGAGGAUGGUGAGGGCCGAGACGCGGACUGAGGCCUGCGAGCCUACUCUGGGUGCCUGGGCCCCUUGUAUAGUACUCUGUCAACUUGUAUUUAAGUAAUAUCUUUUAAGUGGUUGUCAAAUGUUUAUCUGUCUUUCCGCUCAAGGCUCUUUUAUUUUCCUUUGCGCCUAUGUUUGUAUUCUUCGUUUGAUCUUUUGUUUAAGGCGAUCUCGAUUGCCUCAAGGGUGAGGAAGCGAGUAGAGUUUCCGUAGCCCGGGGGCAUAGGAGUUCUCAGGCUCGUCGUCUCUCCGCCCUUAAGGGGCUCGAGGUGCCUCUACUACUCGACCAUACGAGAUUACUGAUAGGAAAGAAAGGGUUACUUGGUUUUUUCGACACUUGGGGGGGUCGCCCCCCUGCUAGCCCCCGAGGGGGUAUCGACUAUGAUGGGUCAUAGUUGGUACUCCCUUCUAACGUCGAGAUUUUGACUCGUGAGAAAGUAAAUUGCUUGAGGGAAAGACCUUAUUUAUUCAUGCAUUCAUUUACAAAGCCUUGGUACAGAAUGUACAUGAGAACAUAAAGCUUUGAAAUUCUAGGGGUAGAAUCGACGUAGCUGUUCGAUGUUCCACGCGUUGGUGAAGGUUGCCCCCUUUUCGUCCGCGAGCUUGUAUGUCCCCGACUUCAAGACUUCAGCCACUACGUAUGGGCCCUCCCAAGGUGGAGUCAGCUUGUGGCGUCCUUGAUUGCUUUGCCGCCGUCGUAGGACGAGGUCGCCCAGGUUCAAGUCCCUCUUGCGCACGUGCUUGUCGUGGUAGCGUCGAAGUUUCUGCUGGUAUCUAGCAGAGUUGAGGAGGGCCAUGUCUCGAGCUUCCUCGAGUUGGUCGACCGCGUUCUCUUGAGUCUCUUUAUUCGAUUGCUCGUUGUAUGCUUUGAGUCGAGGGGACCCAUACUCGAGGUCUGUUGGGAGCACAGCCUCAGAGCCAUAGACCAUGAAGAAUGGGGUGUAUUUUGUGGCCCUGCUCGGCGUCGUCCUUAAGCUCCAUAGGACCGAGGAAAGGUCCUCGACCCAUUUCUUGCCGAAUUUCUUCAAGCGAUCGUAAAUCCUCGGUUUGAGCCCCUGCAAAAUCAUGUCGUUGGCAUGCUCGACCUGGCCGUUAGUUCGAGGGUGGGCCACUGUAGACCAGUUCACACGGAUGUGAUGCUGAUCGCAGAAGUCCAAGAACUUUUUGCCAGUGAACUGAGUGCCGUUGUCGGUGAUGAUGACGUUGGGAAUCACAAACCGGUGGAUGAUGUCGGUGACGAAAAGCACGGCCUGCUAGGAGCGGAUGUUGGUGAUGGGUCGAGCCUCGAUCCAUUUGGAGAAUUUGUCGAUGGCCACCAACAAGUGGGUGUACCCCCCUUUUGCCUUUUGUAGAGGCCCUACUAAGUGGAGCCCCCAUACCACAAACGGCCAUGUGAUCGGGAUCAUCUGGAGAGCGUGGGCAGGCAGGUGCGUCCGUUUAGCGUAGAAUUGGCACCCAUGGCAUGAGCGCACGAGUUCGACAGCAUCAGCUACGGUCGUUGGCCAGUAGAAGCCUUAUCGAAAGGCGUUCCCUACGAGGGUCCGUGGAGCAGCAUGGUGACCACAAGCCCUCGAGUGUAGAUCCUCGAGGAGUUUUCGGCCUUCCUCUAUGGUGAUGCAACGUUGCAAGACCCCCGUCGGGCUUUGUCGAUAUAGCUCUUUGUCCUCGCCGUAGCUUACAUAUGAUUUGGCCCGUCGAGCGAUACAGCGGGCCUUGAAUUAGUCUUCUGGUAGCUCGCAGCAGAUUAGGCAGUCGAGGAACGGCGUGCGCCAAUCAAACAGUCGAUUGGGCUGCUGUUCCACCUCCAUUACUUCGGCUUCCAUUAGCAGCGCUUCAACGGAGUCGGUUUGCUGGGCAGGAGAGGCUUCGACGCCAGACCCCAAGCCCAAGUCGACGGAUGGCUCGUGAAGAUCUCUCGAGAGCGCGUCAGGUGGUACCGUGCCUCAAGUCGACGCGAUCUUGGCGAGUUCGUCAGCCGCCUCGUUGUAGCGUCGGGCGACGUGUGUUGACGGUCCUUAAUGCUCACAUUUAACCAACAACUAAUCAUAGAAAAGGAUCCAAAUGCAACCAACACCUAGACUUAGGGUUUUAUGUGACAGAAUUCCGCAAGUUUUUCUUGUUUGUCUAUUUCUGCAGGGGGUUAUUAGGAAAUACGGAAGAAAGGCCCACACGUCGGGUUUACAUAGAGAUAUUAACGUGCCGCGCAAUUUUCUACCAUCUAGAAGACUCCAGAAGCCACGGGAACGAACGGGAAGGAAAUCGGGCUCGGAGGCAGGGCGCCCGCCCAACUCUCCUGGGCGCCCGCCCAGCUACAGUGCCCAAUCAGGACACGUUUCGCGGAUUAUGCUCCACCGACCUAAAGGAUCAAGGAAAACCGUGCGAUCAAUGUCGGUUUGAUCCGACGGCCCAGAUUCACUUGAAGGGACUAUAAAACCAGACCCCCUGGCCCCUGGAGAUCAUACCUCUUCUACAGAAUCAAAGCUAGGGUUUCAAUUCUUCAUCCAAGUAGAGAGGAUCCCUCUAGUUUUUCUUGUUCUACCUCUAGUUCAUCUAGAUCUAGUUCUAGUUCAUCUAGUUCUAGUUCUAGUUCUUCUAGUUAUAGUUCUAGUUCGUUCUAGUUGUAAUCUAGAAAAUAGGGAGAGAGAAGAGGAGAGCGGAGGAGGAGCCGGAUGUGUCGGAUCUUCCUCAACAUUGUACUUUUGCAGCAACUGGUUCGUUCUUCAUCGUUCUCCAGGUUCUUCAAUUCAUAACUCCUGAGUUCUCUAAUUACUUUUAUUUACAUUCAAGUUAUUUAUUGGAUUCCCGCUUGCAUCAAGUGCUCUAAUCUUUGAAACAUUAGAGUAGUAAUUAAUAGAUUAGAUGUGGUGUUUAGUUUUGCAAUUACCUGGAAUUGCACCCAAUCCUGCGGAUUGUUGUGGUACCCUUAGGGUAGUGACAGCCCUAACGGUCGACGUAUUACACCUCGUUCGGAUCGGUGUUUGUAGGACCGUAGUCAGACCUUCCUAGCCCCCUUCUCAUUUCUUUCUGUGGUUAGUGCUCUGAUGUCCCGAUAUAAAUAAUCUUGAAGUAAUUCUUGAUUCUUAGAUCAACUAGAGAACUCUCAGGAAACUUCCUCUCUUCCCACCAAAAAUAAUUAUAUAGUUAUCCUUGGGCGAUCUUGAUUCUUAAUUAGUACACUCACGUUCUCUGUGGAAAAUCGAUACUCUGGAAUACUCCCGGGUGAAAGCUACAUCGGUAUCCGUGCGCUUGCGGAUUUUUCUGUUUGCGUUUAAAAUACCCAACAAGCUUUCUGGCGCCGUUGCCGGGGAACGGUAGCUGUGGUAGUUUCGAACCAAGUCGUCCGUGUAUCCUUUUUCUUUUCCUUUUUUACCACACUCACCUUAUCAUUUUCACCAUACCACAUGGAUUUCACUCUAAGCAUUAAUGAGCAUGGAAUUUAUUUCAUAGCCACUUCAUUUACUCCAUGCUCAUAUGCAACAUCUUCACAAUCCAUUGGUCUCUCCAACAUCACCAUAUUCGAGAUCUCCAACCCCCUCAUUCUUUCUAUUCGUAAAAACUUUAAAAGGGUGGUUGUCGAUGCAUAUGUCUAUAAUAAAUUUUGCAGAUCUCGUUGAGUUGAUCUUGAUAUAGGUCAGCGUUGGAGGGGAAACCACUUCACUGACAUAAAUUGAUGGUUUCCCAAGGACAAGCUUAGUGUCCUAAAACAAGCACUGAUCAGAUUGUAACAUGAGCUUUUAAUUAUUUGCAACAUUACCUUGUAUAUUGAGCACAUAAGGAUAAUUGUAAAAAUAUUCCUUCGUGUAUUCUUGUCACUAACCUUUCCAGGAUUGGAGCAAGAAGAUCGGAUGAAUGACAAGCACAAGGUAUGUCCAACCAAUCAUCAUACAACAUUGAAUUCAAUUCAUCCAAACUUGAAUUUUGCAAAAUUCAAGCUUGGGGGAGUACUUUACAUAAAAACAUUUUUUGCCAUGUUGCUAUGUUGGUUGUCCCUACCUUUGAGACAUGCUAAAUUUGUUAAAUACUAAUCACACUACUUCAUCUCCACUUGAGUAGAUCUCUAUAAAUGCCCUCAUGCUACCUUUAUUUGCUUUAGUAUAUGUUUAGGUUUGGAGUAGUUUCAUUUAUCUCUUAAUUAAGCAAGGUGCUUAGUUAGGAAUGUUGAUCUUACUUCCAAGGGAUUUUAAAUAAAGCAUGGUGCUUAGGUUAAAAUACCCUCCUAAAUCAAAUUAGACAUGGUGUCUAGGUUGAUCUUUGAGCCGAUAGUAUGCUAUAGUAGAUAUUGGAUAUUUUGUUGGACUAACCCCUGCAGGAAAACUUUCAAUAUCGACCUGGGAAGUCCUGAGAUAAACUCACAUUGGAGAUAAAGAGAGAGACACAUGAAGUUUAACAAUUUACACAAGGAAGGCAUAGCUCACAAGAGAUGAUCCAUGGAGGGUGCCACAAACACGAUGCACAACCGCUAAGAGAGGAAAGCUUCCACAAGGUGAUACUGUACCAUCACUCUUCAAGUAAGGUAACAUCUUAAGGUACUUGACUAUCACUUCUAUAAGCUUCUCCUUGGUUCUAGCAUUCACAUGAAUAAAAGAGACAAACAUGUAUGAUUUACAAUUCUAGAUUAACCAACCCAAUCGAUUCAAUAUGUUUAGUCCUUUCACCUUUGUGAUCCCGCACUAAAUGUUGCACACACAAUCUUUGGAAGAUAUAUAUAAAACAAGAGAUAAGUAUAGAUAGAUUAUCUUUCCAUUAGGUUGAGUGAUCUGAUCUGAUGAAUGUUUUAAAUGCUACACUCAUGAUCUUAUUAUCCAUCAACUUUGUCUUGCUCACUAUGCUUAAGGUUAGAGAGAACAAAUACACUUUUUGGUUCUGUUGGUGUUUUCCACCAACAGGGCCCAUGCACUUGAUCUCUGCCUUGUCUCUAUGAGCAGGUACACUUCGAGCAAAAUAUGAAGGACUUUUACAACUCCCAGACUCCACCAAGUGAAGAACCUAGAUCUACGAGCACAAACACACUGGGGAUACUGGACACUCAGGCAAUCACUGUCCUGAGAUGCUUGAGGAUGUAACUACUGGAGUAACCCCGUUGUGGAAGUAAUUACUGACCUUCUGCCGGUCAAGAGAGACAAUCCAGGACGCCCCGUCAUCCCGAUCUCCAUCGGCAUGGUGGACUUUCUAGAAGCACUCUGUGACUUUGGCUCUAGAAUCAACAUUAUGCCCAGGGUACUCUAUAAAAAAUUCUUUACACAUCCUUUCCUAGAAACAACCAUGUGUUUGCAGCUUGCAGAUCAGACACUAAGUUUCCCAAAGGGAAUAUUGAAGAACCUCUACGUCCGAGUUGGUACCUUAUACGCUCCAGCAGACUUCGUGGUGAUAGAGACUGAUACUGAUGAGAGGGCACCCAUCAUCCUAGGGAGGCCAUUCCUGAACACUUCGGGAGCUAUCAUUUAUGCUAGUGCUGCCAAGAUCAGUUUCUACAUCAAGGGGAGGAAGGAGACGUUUUCCUUCAAGAACAAGACUACACAAAUCCUAGAGCAAUCCCGACAUGAACCAUGGAAGAGGACCAACAGGAGGAACAGGAACAAGCAAAUGUGUACCGAGUCAGCUAAGAUGGUCACUGCAGCUCAAGGAGGUCAAGAUCGUCAACUCAAGUCACCUUUCUUGAUCAAGAAGGACGAUCCUGGUGUUCCAAGCAUCGAGUACACAAUCAACGGAUAUUCUUUUCAGAAGACACUCUACGACACCGGAUCUGACGUCAACAUAAGGGCCGCAGUCACUUAUCAGCUCCUAUUCGGAACCAUGCCUCUAGAACCGACAUACAUUCAGCUUCAGAUAGCAGAUCAGACAUUCCGAAAGGUUGAAGAUUUUCAGGUUAUUGACAUGGUAGAACACUAGUACGAUCCAACCAUCAUCCUUGGAAGACCGUUCCUCAGCACCGUUAAAGCAAUCAUAUACAUUGGAACCUAAGAAGUCCACAUGCACUUCCCCUCUGAGAAGGUAUGCCACUAUUUUUCUGACCUUAACUAUAUAGUUGAAGACUCUAAGCAGGUCAGGACAAGAAGAAGAUGACGCAACCGUAACCAGAGGAGGCAAAUCAUCAAGGACGGAUGGGCAGACUAUGAAGGAGAAGUUGUAUGGUCUAAAGACAUACAACUUGAACAGAACUGUCCUGAGGAGACCGUAGCACCGAGUCAGGUGUGGAGAGAGAAGAUAGUUAUACACGAAGAGCAGGCUCUGCCGGAACCACCGACUAUGCCAUCCAGCGAAUCCCAGGAUGACUGAGAAAACGGAGAGUCCCGUUCGGAGGACUUAAAAACACCGAACGCCUUGCCAAGAGGUAAACUUGGUAGUUGUCUUUUUCCUUUCAAUUAUUUUGAAAUAGUUUGCUUAGUUAAUCAGGUUGACAUCAUCUUAAAAAGAAUAUGAAAAUGUUAAAAAUAGUAAGCUCCAUGUGAGUAUGCUCAUGACAUAAAACCCAUAAGUACAUUCACUGUGGUGGCGUAAAAAUAAAUAUAUCUUCCUGUCCUAUAAAAAUGAAAAUAUAAAUAAGAUUAUGAUCCUACUAAAGAGAGUAACAUUUAUUGAGGAGGCUCAACAUGAUAAAGGCUAGAUAUUUAUGCUAACACUUAACUAGUUCCACAAAGCUUUGUUGUCUAUUUGAGCUCCACAGAAUUCAAGGAUCAAAGAAGACUAGCAGACGGAGGACAUGCUAAUCGCUGUCAGGGUGCUGCUGACAUUCAAAUACACCUCCACCACUUGCUAGCUACAUUAGAAGAAACUACGUCAAAAUCCAGCUUGGGGGAGAGCACCCCCAUUUAUCCAGCUAAGUAUUCUACUCACGUUUAUACUUUACUCUAAUAAUAAAAAGAUGCAUAAUCAUAGAAACCCAAAUAAAGAUUUUGAGCUUAUAUAUAUCUUUGCUUAGUUUGGUAAAUAAAUAAAUAAAUAAAGUUUGCUAUGAACCCUCAUGAUAAGCUCUCACAUGGAAAUGAUGAAUAGUUGCUCUGCCAUGACUAGUUCUAAAAAUUGAAAUCUCUCUCAAGUUUAGGCAUAACUGUUAUGAAUUAAGAUUUUCUCUAAACCUGAACUUGUGGGGAGAGUACUUGAUCUGAAGUCUAAGUCGUUAACGGAUAUACUAUAGGAAGUUUGAGCUGCUAUUUAUCUGUUCCUAGAGAUGCUAGAAUUCUGGAGAAUUUUAUCUUUGAAAAUCAUUAAAAUAUUACAUGAUGAGUUCCUGUAUGAUGAGAGUUUAAAUUCCUACCACAGCCAUAUAUGCAUGCUUGCUAGACUUUGAGCCACACAUUUACUUUUUACUACUUAUGAGCAUUGAGUGUGGUCAAGCUGUGUAGACCCUUAGGAGCUUGUCAUGUGGAUAAAUCAAGAUUCACUUGCACGUUCACUCACACAUGCUGCUUCUACUCCGGAAGUACGCAUCCACAUAUAUCCACCCAUUUCCAUCUCCAAAGCCACCCAAAAAUAUUCUACUCCUAAUCCGGGAGAGAAUAGCCAAAAAUAUUUCUGUUUUUCCCCUGCGAAAUAAAUGCUCAAGUUAUCUUGUUACUACCACUUGCUAUAUUAUCUCAUGAGAUGAGUGCUCUUAAAAAAAAGAAAAAAAAAAGAGACGAGGAAAUAAAAAGGGGCAAGUGCCCGGAACCUCGAAGAAAAGAAAAAGUGAGACGAGAGGUAAAAAUGGACAAGUGUCCGACAGUAGAAUUAGGGGUACAAGAUACCCACCUGAGAGAAAAGAAAAAGAAAAUAUAGAGCAUCUCAUUCUCCCCAAAAGUUUCAAAAGAGCAAGAAAGGUAUGUAUCCCCUCAAAAGAGCAUAAGUAGAAUUAGACUUUCACCAUUGUUAUCACCAUCAUCACCAUACACCAUUCAUUCGCCACACAUGCACAUCUUGAUUUGACUUAUUGACUUGUUCUUCUGGAUCCAUGGUUUGACUAUGCAAUAAAUGUCUUGUAAGUAUGUAUACUUUGUCUCCCACCUACGAGCUCCAGAUAUCAAAACCUUAUUAGAGUAGGGUGAGAGAGAAGGCAAUGUCACUAUGCCUCAUACCAAAAAUACUACAUACUUUGAGAGAAGGCAUACACCAUUACUGCCUUGGUAAGGAUCCAGAAAUACCACAAAAGAGAGACUAGAGAGAGUCAUACAAGGAAUCUCUGAGUUUUAUUUGAAAAUCUACAAAAAAAACUCCACAGCUAUAGUUAAUCGAAGAACAAGAGACAUGGUGCUUGACUAGACUGUUCUAUCUUUUAACAACUCGAGACAGAAGUGACGGUUACAAGUCCCAUGGUGAAAGGUAAAUGAGUAAGUUUUAAGUCUUAACAGUUUACUCUAACCAGAGAUGAGAUCUUGUUUAAACGCAUGUGUAUCUUUAAGGCAUGAAACCACUGUAGAAACUCUUGAGUCCAUCUUUGCUCAGGGACGAGCAAAGGUUAAGCUUGGGGGAGCUUGUUGAUGGUCCUUAAUGCUCACAUUUAACCAUCAACUAAUCAUAGAAAAGGAUCCAAAUGCAACCAACACCUAGACUUAGGGUUUUAUGUGACAGAAUUCCACAAGUUUUGGUGUUUGUCUAUUUCUGCAGGGGGUUAUUAGGAAAUACAGAAGAAAGGCCCACACGUCGGGUUUACAUAGAGAUAUUAACGUGCCGCGCAAUUUUCUACCAUCUAGAAGACUCCAGAAGCCACGGGAACGAACGGGAAGGAAAUCGGGCUCGGAGGCUCUCCUGGGCGCCCGCCCAGCUACAGUGCCCAAUCAGGACACGUUUCGCGGAUUAUGCUCCACCGACCUAAAGGAUCAAGGAAAACCGUGCGAUCAAUGUCGGUUUGAUCCGACGGCCCAGAUUCACUUGAAGGGACUAUAAAACCAGACCCCCUGGCCCCUGGAGAUCACACCUCUUCUACAGAAUCAAAGCUAGGGUUUCAAUUCUUCAUCCAAGUAGAGAGGAUCCCUCUAGUUCUUCUAGUUCUACCUCUAGUUCAUCUAGAUCUAGUUCUAGUUCAUCUAGUUCUAGUUCUAGUUCUUCCAGUUAUAGUUCUAGUUCGUUCUAGUUGUAAUCUAGAAAAUAGGGAGAGAGAAGAGGAGAGCGGAGGAGGAGCCGGAUGUGUCGGAUCUUCCUCAACAUUGUACUUUUGCAGCAACUGGUUCGUUCUUCAUCGUUCUCCAGGUUCUUCAAUUCAUAACUCCUG
rnacentral:lncRNA from 1 species